ensembl:lncRNA
GUUGCCUUUAUGGUUCUCCGAAGGCUCUGGGUGCUGAAAACAAUUCACCGCCAGAACAGUAGGUGGAGAAGCGUUUUUUUGUCAAAGACAAGCUACAUCAUGACGUCUUUGUCUGUUAGAAGUUGUCGAUUGUUUAUCUCCCACCUCCCACUAGCCAGACACGUAACAUGGGUCACACUAUAUCAUUACUAUAGAGAGCGUGUCUAAUUCUAUGUAUGUACUUGAAAAGGCAAACUUAUCUCUAUCAUGGUAGGUAUUAUUUGUGGGAAAAAUAGUAGCAAAAAAAUGAUAUGCUUAUCUUAUAUACACUAUAGAAACUAUUAAAAAACGAUUCAAUGAAAUGAAUACGUUCCUAUUUUCUUUAGUAUUUUUGUCACAUUCAGAUUUGCAAUGAUGAUUGCUGGGUAAUAUGUAUGCUGUUGUCCAAUGUCAAGUCUGUAUUUGAUCAUGUGACAAGACGAUAUGAUAUAGAUAGUUUAGGCACAGCAUCUGAACGUCAAGACCGACAAGCUGACAGUGUUGUACAAGUUCACACCUCUCAUGAACUAGUUGAAAGUUCAGUUCAUGCAAGUAAACAUGAAUAGUUCACGUUCAUAGUUCACCAUUUAAAUUCUGAACCAGUUCAUAGUUUAGUUCAGUUCAUAGUUUUAGAGUGGAAAGUGAGAAUGAAAGACUUCACUUGUUUUUUUAUAGAAAACUUUAUCCAUCACUACCCCUUGACUUAAACUGCACUUCGUGUGUAUCAAUUCCUAAAAUAAUAAUAUUUUUAUUAUUAUUAUUGCAACCACCCUGUCAAUUUCCCCCUACCGCAGUGUUUCUCGAAGUGUGGGGAGAGCCCAACUGGUGGGUCGCAGAGACGUGACAGGUGGGGCACGAAUGGACACGAUGAGCAGGAGAUUUUCCCGUUGCAAUGCAUUCCUUUAUAGACAGUAACGAUAAUAUACCCCCAUCGCACUAAACAACCACACUCAAACAAAGAAAUAUUGUAUUGUUAGAAACAAUAGCAGGGCAGAGCACACGGAUAAUCCAUAAUCAGCAUCUUGGCAAAUUGAGACUGCGGCCUGCGCGAUAAAGCAUUGAACAUUCCAUAUUUAAAAUAUCUUAAUAAGUAGUGAAGUCAACGUGUCUGCUUCACAUGAUAGAGAAGUUUGUUUAUUGACACAUCUUUUAAGGACGGCCACAGCACUUUAAAACGAAGUGUUUAUAAGUUACAUUAUUCAAAGGUGGAAGGUUGGUCAGUAAUCAGUCUAGAGAGGGCAGCGCCAGAUAACCGAACAAAACUCAACACACGCUUGCCUCACGUGUGCAAUACCAUAUGGCUUUUAAUCAUAUUUGAUAGAAUGAAGGACAAAUGAGUUGUGAAUACUAUCACCGAGUUUGAAAGGUAUUGGUCAGGUAAUAGCCGAGUGACAGCUGAUUUGCUUUCUGAUUUGACAGUACUUCUGUGUGUUUUAAGCAAAUACAAUGUGGAAUGUUCAUGAAGGGGCACCUGCUAUCGUGAAUUAUACAGUAAAUGAGUUGCAAAAUGAAACGAAAACACAUCAGAGUUAAAGUUGUAUUAGUGUUGAUUGAUUCACAUCGAUAUGGAUGGAUGACAUGAGUAACAAGUGGUGGAAAAUGAAUAUGAAAGUACUGAAGUCAACGUGUCUGCUUCACAUGAUGCAGAAGUUGGUUUUUGAGAAGAAAAUAACUUCAAAUUUAGGAUUUUAGCGCCGAAUUGCGUAGAGGCCGAGAGCGGUAUUGCCGAAAAAUUAUAGCUUGCAACAUAUUGAAAAAAAGAACUAGUUCAUUUUUUGGAGCUGUGAACUUAGUUCAAAAUGUUGAAUUAUAAACUAUGAACUGAACUAGUUCAUGUAGAAAGUGAACUUUCCCAACACUGGAACAUGUCUGCUUCACAUAAUGCAGAAGUUUGUUUUUGAGAAUAAAAUAACUUCACAUUUAGGAUAACAGCCUUCUUCCUGUUGCAGGAAUUUGUUUGUGUCCUAGCUGUGACAACGCGAUUACAGGCGGCAAAUGCAUCAUAAAGCAAGUUUAAAAGAAAUUAACUGUAUGGAGAUAUUUCUGUCGGAUGGCAUCAUAGUCGAUGCAGAUUCUAAUGAGGGUGUUGGAUAUGUCCCAUGAUAUGAUAUGAAUGAAUAUGUCUAAAGGUCGUUUGGACAAAAUAUUUUAAUAGCUGUCUGCUCCUGCCGGGCUCUGGCACUACUCUGUCAGAUGCUGGCGCUCAUGUGGGUUUUAAAUAUGGCGGUAUUGUGAUAUAUAUGGAAUGAAACAGGAAACGCGAGGUCCAGAAAUGUGAGAUUCCGGAAAUGAUGUCGUUCGGAAAUGAUGUCGUAGCGGACCAAUCACGGCCAAGGGGUAUCCGUAGCUGUACAGCACGUCAGGACGGACCGACAGGAAUUUCAGCGG